rnacentral:rRNA from 1 species
GAUGAACGCUGGCGGCGUGCUUAACACAUGCAAGUCGAACGGAAAGGCCACAGCUUGCUGUGGUACUCGAGUGGCGAACGGGUGAGUAACACGUGGGUGAUCUGCCCUGUACUUCGGGAUAAGCUUGGGCAACUGGGUCUAAUACCGGCUAGGAAUCACAUGUGGGUGUGUGGUUGGAAAGCUUUUGCGGUCUGGGAUGAGCUCGCGGCCUAUCCGCUUGUUGGGGGGGUAUUGGCCUACCAAGGCGUCGCCGGGUAGCCGGCCUGGGAGGGUGUACGGCCACAUGGGCCUGGGGGAGGGGCCAGGACGCAAUGGGGGGCAAGGGGGGGGAAAAUUGUCCAAAGGGGCGAAGGCUGGGGAGACGGUCGCCGGAUGGGGAAGGACGUCCUGCGGGUGGGAAGCGCAUUACGUCAGGACCGAGCUGAAGUGACGGUACCUGGAAAAGAAGCACCGGCUAACUACGUG